UGUACCGCAAGUUCCAUUACGAUUCAUCCUACUUAAAACACCGCCUCACUUUUUUAUCAAAGUAGCUUCUUUCAUUUUCUGGAAAUAUUUCGAAAACACAGCUGCUCAUUUCCAGUUCUGUUCCUCUAGCCUCCAGUGGUGCGGCGCGACUAGGACAUGGAUUUUACUUUGAAUUAUCAGAAUUAGCUUUCAAGUUGAAGUUCAAAAUACAGGUUUUAAAGGCCGGAGGCGCGUGGAAGGUCGAAUGGCGAGUCAAAUAUGUUGAAUUUAGUUUCACUUAAAAAUGUUAUGUUGAGUAAAAUAUUUUAAAUAAAAUGUUUCUUUUCUUA